UACGUAGGGGGCAAGCGUUAUCCGGAUUUACUGGGUGUAAAGGGAGCGUAGACGGCGAUGCAAGUCUGAAGUGAAAGGCGGGGGCCCAACCCCCGGACUGCUCUGGAAACUGUGUAACUGGAGUGCAGGAGAGGCAGGCGGAAUUCCUAGUGUAGCGGUGAAAUGCGUAGAUAUUAGGAGGAACACCAGUGGCGAAGGCGGCUUACUGGACUGUAACUGACGUUGAGGCUCGAAAGCGUGGGUAUCGAACAGG
rnacentral:rRNA from 1 species